rnacentral:rRNA from 1 species
CCUACGGGCGGCUGCAGUGGGGAAUAUUGCACAAUGGGCGCAAGCCUGAUGCAGCCAUGCCGCGUGUGUGAAGAAGGCCUUCGGGUUGUAAAGCACUUUCAGCGGGGAGGAAGGCGUUAAGGUUAAUAACCUUGUCGAUUGACGUUACCCGCAGAAGAAGCACCGGCUAACUCCGUGCCAGCAGCCGCGGUAAUACGGAGGGUGCAAGCGUUAAUCGGAAUUACUGGGCGUAAAGCGCACGCAGGCGGUCUGUCAAGUCGGAUGUGAAAUCCCCCGGCUCAACCUGGGAACUGCAUUCGAAACUGGCAGGCUAGAGUCUUGUAGAGGGGGGUAGAAUUCCAGGUGUAGCGGUGAAAUGCGUAGAGAUCUGGAGGAAUACCGGUGGCGAAGGCGGCCCCCUGGACAAAGACUGACGCUCAGGUGCGAAAGCGUGGGGGGCAAACAGGAUUAGAUACCCGAGUAGUC